rnacentral:rRNA from 1 species
AGCGGCGGACGGGUGAGUAAUGCUUAGGAAUCUGCCUAUUAGUGGGGGACAACAUUCCGAAAGGAAUGCUAAUACCGCAUACGCCCUACGGGGGAAAGCAGGGGAUCUUCGGACCUUGCGCUAAUAGAUGAGCCUAAGUCAGAUUAGCUAGUUGGUGGGGUAAAGGCCUACCAAGGCGACGAUCUGUAGCGGGUCUGAGAGGAUGAUCCGCCACACUGGGACUGAGACACGGCCCAGACUCC